rnacentral:rRNA from 1 species
GAUGAACGCUGGCGGCGUGCCUAAUACAUGCCAGUCGAGCGAACAGACGAGGAGCUUGCUCCUCUGACGUUAGCGGCGGACGGGUGAGUAACACGUGGAUAACCUACCGAUAAGACUGGGAUAACUUCGGGAAACCGGAGCUAAUACCGGAUAAUAUAUUGAACCGCAUGGUUCAAUAGUGAAAGACGGUUUUGCUGUCACUUAUAGAUGGAUCCGCGCCGCAUUAGCUAGUUGGUAAGGUAACGGCUUACCAAGGCGACGAUGCGUAGCCGACCUGAGAGGGUGAUCGGCCACACUGGAACUGAGACACGGUCCAGACUCCUACGGGAGGCAGCAGUAGGGAAUCUUCCGCAAUGGGCGAAAGCCUGACGGAGCAACGCCGCGUGAGUGAUGAAGGUCUUCGGAUCGUAAAACUCUGUUAUUAGGGAAGAACAAAUGUGUAAGUAACUAUGCACGUCUUGACGGUACCUAAUCAGAAAGCCACGGCUAACUACGUG